GCUAUAGUAUAUAUACCAUCUUUAAAACCUAACCCUAAUUCAGCUAUUCCCACUGCCGUUUCUCACUCUUCAAUUUUCACUCACACCCAUCUUUCCUCUCCUUUAAUCUCUUCUCAAUAUCAAAAAUCAUUAAUCUUAUUUUUUUCUCUUCAUUUUUUCAAAUUACUCCAUCUAAACACAGACUCAGUAAUCUAAAAAAAUUGAUACAUCUUCUUCUCUUAAUAAUCUAAACGGCUGCACAUCUUUUGCGGUUAGUAGCUCAAGCAAAUAAGUUCCUCCUCUUUUUCGGAGCAAUAUUUUCGAUCUCUUGCGCGUACAAUAGAUCCGGCGAUGCAAUCCGAUCGAGACGUGCACCUUGGACGGAAAUUUGUACAGGACUAAUGAGCUCGGAAAAAAAAAAGGAACAACAUUCAACCAAAAGUUAGCUGAAUGGCAGGGUUAUGGAAAGUGUAAAGGAGUGCACUGAUUUCACUAAAGGAAAGGUCGUCCUUAAUUCACGGUGGUCAAAGGUUAUAUAAAAUGCAAUAACGUGAGGAAAUAAAUGCACAAGUACGCAUGACAAUAAUUCACGGUCUAUAAAGAAGGAGCGAUUUUUUUUUGUUUCAGAAAAGGAAAGGUCGUCCGGGAUCCACGGUGGCUAAAGAGCAGGUUCUGUGGAAGCUAAUAAUGUGGGGAAAUAAAUGCACAACUACCGUGGCAAAUAAUUCACGAUUUGUUUGAACGUACCAAGACUUUUCUUUGAAGUAAAGCAUCACAAGAAAACGAACAACAUCCUGCAAAUUGAGUUUUCCAAGGAGCAAAUUAUUCAAGAAAAUAUAUAGUGUUUGAAAGGUGUUGUGGUGUAAGCACUGAAAUAUGUCUCUGAUGAGACAUGAGAGUUGAAAAUAUUAAUUGCAUACAAAUAAGGUCCUACAUAUGAAAACAAUAGCAAUAAUAUGUAAAGAAAUAUAAAUGCAGUCUUGUUAUUUGUGCUGCGAAAAAGCAAAUCAAA